GAAGAAGAGAGCAGACUUCUUAUAGUUGUCCUCUGAUUGCCACACUCCUGCCCACCCAAACUCUCAGAGAUCUGCCUGCCUUUGCUGGGAUUAAAGUUUUGGGUUGCCAUGCCCAGAUACUUCUUUUUUUCAGGCAGGGUCUCUCUCUCUGUGUCAGGUGCAAAGGAAACUGCAUUUCCUGAGAUUCUGGAGCUGCUUCCCCUUUAUCAAAGGAGCCACGUCAUUUCCCUUACCACUGGCAGAAGGAACAUGGCUGUCUGAGGUGCCUGUCAGCAUAGGGAAGCGCACACUAGCCUCCAGCUACAAUAAAGAUCAUGGUGGCACAUGCUUUUAAUAACCUGCGCUCAGGAGCCAGAGGCAAGAGGAUCUCUUGUGAGUUUGAGGACAGCCUGAACUAUACAGCAAGCUCCAAGACCAACAGGACAGCAUAAAGAGACCCCGUUUCAAAAAACCAGUCGGGGCUGGAGAGAUGCUGGAGAGAUGGCACAGCAGUUAAGAGCACUGGCUGCUCUUCCAGAGGUUCUGAGUUCACAGGAAGAAAAAAAUUAUGCCAAAAAGAAAAAAAAAGACCCCAGGAGUUCUAGAGGCUGGAGGUCUAAAACUCAAGUUACUGGUAGGGCCAUGCUCCCUUGAAGCCUGCUAGGCGGAAGGCACACUUGCUGGACACCCUUGGAAUUCCAGUGACUCGUAGAUCCAUCACUCCAGCCUUUGGACACCCC
rnacentral:lncRNA from 1 species